rnacentral:rRNA from 1 species
AGUGAACGCUGGCGGUAGGCCUAACACAUGCCAGUCGAACGGCAGCACAGUAAGAGCUUGCUCUUACGGGUGGCGAGUGGCGGACGGGUGAGGAAUACAUCGGAAUCUACUUUUUCGUGGGGGAUAACGUAGGGAAACUUACGCUAAUACCGCAUACGACCUACGGGUGAAAGCAGGGGAUCUUCGGACCUUGCGCGAUUGAAUGAGCCGAUGUCGGAUUAGCUAGUUGGCGGGGUAAAGGCCCACCAAGGCGACGAUCCGUAGCUGGUCUGAGAGGAUGAUCAGCCACACUGGAACUGAUACACGGUACAGACUCAUACGGGAGGCAGCAGUGGGGAAUAUUGGACAAUGGGCGCAAGCCUGAUCCAGCCAUACCGCGUGGGUGAAGAAGGCCUUCGGGUUGUAAAGCCCUUUUGUUGGGAAAGAAAAGCAGCAGGUUAAUACCCCGCUGUUCUGACGGUACCCAAAGAAUAAGCACCGGCUAACUUCGUG